AUUCGCGGCCUAUCAGCUUGUUGGUGGGGUAACGGCUCACCAAGGCAUCGACGGGUAGCUGGUCUGAGAGGAUGAUCAGCCACAUUGGGACUGAGAUACGGCCCAGACUCCUACGGGAGGCAGCAGUGGGGAAUCUUGCGCAAUGGCCGCAAGGCUGACGCAGCGACGCCGCGUGUGGGAUGACGGCCUUCGGGUUGUAAACCACUGUUGGGAGGGACGAAGGCCCGGAAACGGGAUUGACGGUACCUCCAGAGGAAGCACCGGCUAACUCCGUGCCAGCAGCCGCGGUAAUACGGAGGGUGCGAGCGUUGUCCGGAAUCACUGGGCGUAAAGGGCGCGUAGGCGGCGCGUUAAGUCGGAUGUGAAAUUCCGGGGCUCAACUCCGGGCCGGCAUCCGAGACUGGCGUGCUUGAGCGUGGUAGAGGCGGGUGGAAUUCCCGGUGUAGCGGUGGAAUGCGUAGAGAUCGGGAAGAACACCGGUGGCGAAGGCGGCUCGCUGGGCCGUUGCUGACGCUGAGGCGCGAAAGCGUGGGGAGCAAACAGGAUUAGAUACCCUGGUAGUCCACGCCGUAAACGAUGGGUACUAGGCGUCGGGGGGAGCGACCCCCUCGGUGCCGUCGCUAACGCAGUAAGUACCCCGCCUGGGGAGUACGGAAUCGUCGACCCGCCAGGGCCCC
rnacentral:rRNA from 1 species